rnacentral:rRNA from 1 species
AGAGUUUGAUCAUGGCUCAGAUUGAACGCUGGCGGUAUGCUUAACACAUGCAAGUCGAACGCGAACGUACCUUCGGGUGCUAUUAGAGUGGCGGACGGGUUAGUAACGCGUAGGAAUCUACCCAGUAGCGGGGGACAACAUGUGGAAACGCAUGCUAAUACCGCAUACGCCCUUCGGGGGAAAGACUUCGGUCACUAUUGGAUGAGCCUGCGUAAGAUUAGCUAGUUGGUAGGGUAAUGGCCUACCAAGGCGACGAUCUUUAGCUGGACUGAGAGGUCGAACAGCAACACUGGGACUGAGACACGGCCCAGACUCCUACGGGAGGCAGCAGUGGGGAAUAUUGGACAAUGGGCGAAAGCCUGAUCCAGCAAUACCGCGUGUGUGAAGAAGGCCUGCGGGUUGUAAAGCACUUUCAGAUGGGAAGAUAAUGACGUUACCAUCAGAAGAAGCACCGGCUAACUCUGUGCCAGCAGCCGCGGUAAUACAGAGGGUGCAAGCGUUAAUCGGAAUUACUGGGCGUAAAGCGCGCGUAGGCGGCUUAGUCAGUCAGAUGUGAAAGCCCCGGGCUCAACCUGGGAACUGCAUUUGAUACUGCUUAGCUAGAGUAUGGUAGAGGGAAGUGGAAUUUCAGGUGUAGCGGUGAAAUGCGUAGAUAUCUGAAGGAACAUCAGUGGCGAAGGCGACUUCCUGGACCAAUACUGACGCUGAGGUGCGAAAGCGUGGGGAGCGAACAGGAUUAGAUACCCUGGUAGUCCACGCCGUAA